UACAGAGGUCUCAAGCGUUGUUCGGAUUCAUUGGGCGUAAAGGGCGCGUAGGCGGUGCGGUAAGUCACCUGUGAAAACUCUGGGCUCAACUCAGAGCCUGCAGGCGAAACUGCCGUGCUUGGAGUGUGGGAGAGGUGCGUGGAAUUCCCGGUGUAGCGGUGAAAUGCGUAGAUAUCUGGAGGAACACCGGUGGCGAAGGCGGCAUCCUGGACCGGCAUUGACGCUGAGGCGCGAAAGCUAGGGGAGCAAACGGG
rnacentral:rRNA from 1 species